rnacentral:tRNA from 1 species
UGUUUAUGGUUAUAUAAGGCGUUUUGAUAAAACAUUAUUACAGGUGUGAGUACCGUUUAAACAG